GACGAACGCUGGCGGCGUGCCUAAUACAUGCAAGUCGAACGAGAGCGACCGGUGCUUGCACUGGUCAAUCUAGUGGCAAACGGGUGAGUAACACGUGGGUAACCUGCCCAUCAGAGGGGGAUAACAUCCGGAAACGGAUGCUAAAACCGCAUAGGUCUUCGAGCCGCAUGGCUUGAAGAGGAAAAGAGGCGCAAGCUUCUGCUGAUGGAUGGACCCGCGGUGCAUUAGCUAGUUGGUGAGGUAACGGCUCACCAAGGCCGUGAUGCAUAGCCGACCUGAGAGGGUGAUCGGCCACAUUGGGACUGAGACACGGCCCAAACUCCUACGGGAGGCAGCAGUAGGGAAUCUUCCGCAAUGGACGCAAGUCUGACGGAGCAACGCCGCGUGAGUGAAGAAGGUUUUCGGAUCGUAAAACUCUGUUGUUAGAGAAGAACAAGUGCUAGAGUAACUGUUAGCGCCUUGACGGUAUCUAACCAGAAAGCCACGGCUAACUACGUG
rnacentral:rRNA from 1 species